CCUUGAGAAGGUUAGCUCAGCCAACUGUUGGAUAUGUUGGUUCAAGCCUGUAGUCGUGCCUGGUAGGUAAAUCCGCCGGGCUUAGAUGAGGGGUGAUAACGAGGCUGCUUGCAGUCGAAGUGAGUGAUACCCUGCUUCCAGGAAAAGCCACUAAGCUUCAGCUACACACGACCGUACCGCAAACCGACACUGGUGCGCGAGAUGAGUAUUCUAAGGCGCUUGAGAGAACUCAGGAGAAGGAACUCGGCAAAUUGACACCGUAACUUCGGAAGAAGGUGUGCCUUUAGUAGGUGAACCUGUACAAGGGGAGCCCAAUGAGGUUGCAAAAAAUCGGUGGCUGCGACUGUUUAAUAAAAACACAGCACUCUGCAAACACGAAAGUGGACGUAUAGGGUGUGACGCCUGCCCGGUGCUGGAAGAUUAAAUGAUGGGGUGCAAGCUCUUGAUUGAAGUCCCAGUAAACGGCGGCCGUAACAAUAACGGUCCUAAGGUAGCGAAAUUCCUUGUCGGGUAAGUUCCGACCUGCACGAAUGGCGUAACGAUGGCCACACUGUCUCCUCCUGAGACUCAGCGAAGUUGAAAUGUUUGUGAUGAUGCAAUCUCCCCGCGGAAAGACGGAAAGACCCCAUGAACCUUUACUGUAGCUUUGUAUUGGACUUUGAACAGAUCUGUGUAGGAUAGGUGGGAGGCUUUGAAGUGUGGUCGCUAGAUCGCAUGGAGCCAACGUUGAAAUACCACCCUGGUGUGUUUGAGGUUCUAACCUAGGCCCGUAAUCCGGGUCGGGGACAGUGCAUGGUAGGCAGUUUGACUGGGGCGGUCUCCUCCCAAAGCGUAACGGAGGAGUUCGAAGGUACGCUAGGUACGGUCGGACAUCGUGCUAAUAGUGCAAUGGCAUAAGCGUGCUUAACUGCGAGACUGACAAGUCGAGCAGAUGCGAAAGCAGGACAUAGUGAUCCGGUGGUUCUGUAUGGAAGGGCCAUCGCUCAACGGAUAAAAGGUACUCUGGGGAUAACAGGCUGAUACCGCCCAAGAGUUCAUAUCGACGGCGGUGUUUGGCACCUCGAUGUCGGCUCAUCUCAUCCUGGGGCUGUAGCCGGUCCCAAGGGUAUGGCUGUUCGCCAUUUAAAGAGGUACGUGAGCUGGGUUUAAAACGUCGUGAGACAGUUUGGUCCCUAUCUUCCGUGGGCGCUGCAGAUUUGAGGAAGCCUGCUCCUAGUACGAGAGGACCGGAGUGGACACACCUCUGGUGUAUCGGUUGUCACGCCAGUGGCAUUGCCGAGUAGCUAUGUGUGGAAGAGAUAACCGCUGAAAGCAUCUAAGCGGGAAACUCGUUUCAAGAUGAGAUCUGCCGGGGCCUUGAGCCCCCUAAAGAGUCGUUCAAGACCAGGACGUUGAUAGGUCGGGUGUGGAAGCGCAGUAAUGCGUUAAGCUAACCGAUACUAAUUGCUCGUGCGGCUUGACCAA
rnacentral:rRNA from 1 species